rnacentral:miRNA from 2 species
GCCCUCUAUCAACGCUGCCCUA